AUUGAACGCUGGCGGCAUGCCUUACACAUGCAAGUCGAACGGCAGCACGGGAGCAAUCCUGGUGGCGAGUGGCGAACGGGUGAGUAAUACAUCGGAACGUGCCCAGUAGUGGGGGAUAGCCCGGCGAAAGCCGGAUUAAUACCGCAUACGACCUACGGGUGAAAGCGGGGGAUCGCAAGACCUCGCGCUAUUGGAUCGGCGGUUGGCAGAUUAGCUUGUUGGUGGGGUAAAGGCCCACCAAGGCGACGAUCUGUAGCUGGUCUGAGAGGACGACCAGCCACACUGGGACUGAGACACGGCCCAGACUCCUACGGGAGGCAGCAGUGGGGAAUGUUGGACAAUGGGCGCAAGCCUGAUCCAGCCAUGCCGCGUGCGGGAAGAAGGCCUUCGGGUUGUAAACCGCUUUUGUCAGGGAAGAAACGGUCUGAUCUAAUAAGUCGGACUAAUGACGGUACCUGAAGAAUAAGCACCGGCUAACUACGUGCCAGCAGCCGCAGUAA
rnacentral:rRNA from 1 species